UACGGAGGGUGCGAGCGUUGUCCGGAAUCACUGGGCGUAAAGGGCGCGUAGGCGGCGCGGAAAGUCAACGGUGAAAGCUCGGCGCUCAACGCCGAGUCGGCCGUCGAUACUCCCGUGCUCGAGCACUGUAGAGGCAGGUGGAAUUCCGGGUGUAGCGGUGGAAUGCGUAGAGAUCCGGAAGAACACCGGUGGCGAAGGCGGCCUGCUGGGCAGUAGCUGACGCUGAGGCGCGACAGCGUGGGGAGCAAACAGG
rnacentral:rRNA from 1 species